UCGUCGGAACCACCAACAACAGAAGCUUGCCUGCUGCCCUACCAAAGCAAAAUUAGGUUAUUUGUGAAUGAACAUUACCUCUUCAGCAAUCUGAUGGAUUUACAGGCUUGUUUGUUUCGUUGGUGGCUUGCUGCUCGGGUUCUUUGUUGAUUUUGUUGGAUGUGUGUGCUGUUUACCAACAAGGAGCUUCAGAAGGGUUGCUCACCAAUGAACUAGAAGAUUGUUUUGUCCUGGGCACUCACAUGAUUAAGGAAGAAAUUGGUUAUUCCUGGAUGUGCUAUGCAGAUCAAAGAUUUUGCAGGUUAUUUAGCCAUUCCCAUGCUUCCAAAGCAACUCAUGACCCCUCUUAUAAAUCUGCCCUGCAAUAUUUAGGUGUUACAAAAAUAGUUUGACCAUUUUGCCUCAUAAUGAGAGUUCUUUCACUAUUUUGGAGAUUGGUGCAUUCUUUCUGCAGUUUAACACCUGCAUUGCAAAUAAUCAUGCCAGAGAACUGUGUUGGGCACACAACUGCGUCUCCAACCCAUCCGAUGGAGAGGCACAAAUUCAUGGAUUGGCCAAUGAGAUAUGUAGAUUGAGACAAUAUGACGCUUCAGAUAAAUGAUGUGCAUAAUUUGGACCAAUGGCAUGAAAACAGAAAUCCAGCCUCCUUUUUUGUGCGGAAAUGGGCCCCUACGAUAUCCUGGGGAUGGAUGUUUUAUUCAAAGAAUUCCCAGAAAUUGUGAAUCUCGGUGUACAAGAAUCAACACGAAUGCUGAAACAUUGUUUUUUU